ensembl:processed_transcript 4930552N02Rik RIKEN cDNA 4930552N02 gene
AGAGAAACUACACCCAUGGAGUUUUACCAACAUGGCUGCCUGAACAAGGCCUGAACAACAAUGGUGAUACCAAUGGAGCUGCUAACAUGAACAGGGGAGAGAUGGUGGGGCCUUAACUCUAGACAAGAGGUGCUGUACUCUCUACAAUGCCCUGGAUAUGUACCUGAAAAACAUGAAAUCCACUUGUACCUAGGAAAAACACCAUUUCCUUCUCGGGAUGUGCCUCGCAGAUGUACUUCUCUCUUGCCAUGGGCUCCACUGAAUGUGUGCUCCUCUCUAUGAUGGCCUAUGACAGAAUCUGAACACAAAGCUGACAUGUAUGUUACUUCCUUGAAAUUAUGUAAAUGAUGGCUUCAUCCUGUGAAAGUGUAUCUCGUGCUACUGCAGACAAGCUUCAUGUGGACCUUAUGUUUAAGAAAGGAGAGAUGAUCACACAUAAGCAUCACCCCAGCACUGGUGUGAACUCUUGUAAUCCCAACCUUGUGGAGGCUUAGACAGAAGGAUUAUAGAGCCAGCUGUGAUCACACACUGAGAUCCUCACCCAAAACACAGAGGAUCUGAAUAAAGAAAAAGAAGAAGAAAGUAAUGAGGGGGAGAGAGAAAGAGACAGAGAAACAGAGGCGGGAGGUAGAAUGAGGAAGGGAAAAGGGAAGGGAAAAAUGAAGGAAAGAAGUUACUAUGUGAGACCCAUACCUGAGCAAGACAGGACUCACAAAAAAUAAGUCAGUCACUGGUGCAUGGAUUUAGGGAAGAAGUUUAUAAGAAGCAUGUAAGGAUUCAGUGGGGGUAGAAUCCUUCUGGUGAUCUUAAUUCAAAUGCCCUCAGCAUGUACGAGAGAAGUUCUCACUCUCGGCCAUCUGAUACUACAGUCUGUCAACUCAAAAUUCUCCAAAGGGAGGGACGGUUAUUUUUAUUUCAUCUCUACUUAAAUAGCUCAUUGUAAACAGUGACCACAAUAUAAUAUUGGUUUGGGCUAAGAGUCCACAGUUUGUAGAGGACAUAUCUGAAUGAGAAAUGUCCUCUGGAAUAGCUUAUGAAGCUGCUCAGAGGCAAAACCCAGUAACGUGGCCUCAGUUGCUCUGGUUGGGUCAGUAGCCUAAACAAGGUCCUCUAAUUUAAGAGUUUGGGGAGUAAGCUUUUUUUAUAGUCUAGAUGUUUUGUGUACCCCACAGAUAAACCUGUGUAUGC